AUUGAACGCUGGCGGCAUGCUUUACACAUGCAAGUCGGACGGCAGCACAGAGAAGCUUGCUUCUUGGGUGGCGAGUGGCGAACGGGUGAGUAACAUAUCGGAACGUACCGAGCAGUGGGGGAUAACUAAUCGAAAGAUUAGCUAAUACCGCAUAUCUUCUGAGGAAGAAAGCAGGGGACCAUUUGGCCUUGCGCUGUUUGAGCGGCCGAUAUCUGAUUAGCUAGUUGGUGGGGUAAAGGCCUACCAAGGCGACGAUCAGUAGCGGGUCUGAGAGGAUGAUCCGCCACACUGGGACUGAGACACGGCCCAGACUCCUACGGGAGGCAGCAGUGGGGAAUUGUGGACAAUGGGCGCAAGCCUGAUCCAGCCAUGCCGCGUGUCUGAAGAAGGCCUUCGGGUUGUAAAGGACUUUUGUCAGGGAAGAAAAGGGCGGGGUUAAUACCCCUGUCUGAUGACGGUACCUGAAGAAUAAGCACCGGCUAACUACGUG
rnacentral:rRNA from 1 species